rnacentral:rRNA from 1 species
UACGUAGGGGCCUAGCGUUGUCCGGAUUUAUUGGGCGUAAAGAGCUCGUAGGCGGUUCGGUAAGUCAGGUGUGAAAUCUCCACGCUCAACGUGGAGGCGCCACCUGAAACUGCCGUGACUCGAGUCCGGUAGGGGAGUGUGGAAUUCCCGGUGUAGCGGUGAAAUGCGCAGAUAUCGGGAGGAACACCGAUGGCGAAGGCAGCCCCCUGGGCUAACACUGACGCUCAGGCACGAAAGCGUGGGGAGCAAACAGG